GACGAACGCUGGCGGCGUGCUUAACACAUGCAAGUCGAACGGAAAGGCCCUGCUUUUGUGGGGUGCUCGAGUGGCGAACGGGUGAGUAACACGUGAGUAACCUGCCCUUGACUUUGGGAUAACUUCAGGAAACUGGGGCUAAUACCGGAUAGGAGCUCCUGCUGCAUGGUGGGGGUUGGAAAGUUUCGGCGGUUGGGGAUGGACUCGCGGCUUAUCAGCUUGUUGGUGGGGUAGUGGCUUACCAAGGCCUUGACGGGUAGCCGGCCUGAGAGGGUGACCGGCCACAUUGGGACUGAGAUACGGCCCAGACUCCUACGGGAGGCAGCAGUGGGGAAUAUUGCACAAUGGGCGGAAGCCUGAUGCAGCAACGCCGCGUGCGGGAUGACGGCCUUCGGGUUGUAAGCCGCUUUCGCCUGUGACGAAGCGUGAGUGACGGUAAUGGGUAAAGAAGCACCGGCUAACUACGUGCCAGCAGCCGCGGUGAUACGUAGGGUGCGAGCGUUGUCCGGAUUUAUUGGGCGUAAAGGGCUCGUAGGUGGUUGAUCGCGUCGGAAGUGUAAUCUUGGGGCUUAACCCUGAGCGUGCUUUCGAUACGGGUUGACUUGAGGAAGGUAGGGGAGAAUGGAAUUCCUGGUGGAGCGGUGGAAUGCGCAGAUAUCAGGAGGAACACCAGUGGCGAAGGCGGUUCUCUGGGCCUUUCCUGACGCUGAGGAGCGAAAGCGUGGGGAGCGAACAGGCUUAGAUACCCUGGUAGUCCACGCUGUAAACGGUGGGUACUAGGUGUGGGGUCCAUUCCACGGGUUCCGUGCCGUAGCUAACGCUUUAAGUACCCCGCCUGGGGAGUACGGCCGCAAGGCUAAAACUCAAAGGAAUUGACGGGGCCCCGCACAAGCGGCGGAGCAUGCGGAUUAAUUCGAUGCAACGCGUAGAACCUUACCUGGGUUUGACAUGGAUCGGGAGUGCUCAGAGAUGGGUGUGCCUCUUUUGGGGUCGGUUCACAGGUGGUGCAUGGCUGUCGUCAGCUCGUGUCGUGAGAUGUUGGGUUAAGUCCCGCAACGAGCGCAACCCUUGUUCACUGUUGCCAGCACGUUAUGGUGGGGACUCAGUGGAGACCGCCGGGGUCAACUCGGAGGAAGGUGGGGAUGACGUCAAGUCAUCAUGCCCCUUAUGUCCAGGGCUUCACGCAUGCUACAAUGGCUGGUACAGAGAGUGGCGAGCCUGUGAGGGUGAGCGAAUCUCGGAAAGCCGGUCUCAGUUCGGAUUGGGGUCUGCAACUCGACCUCAUGAAGUCGGAGUCGCUAGUAAUCGCAGAUCAGCAACGCUGCGGUGAAUACGUCCCCGGG
rnacentral:rRNA from 1 species